GCGCCUGUUGUAUAAUGGUAUUACCUUAGCCUUCCAAGCUAAAGACGUCGGUUCGAUUCCGAUCAGGCGCU
rnacentral:tRNA from 1 species